GUGCUCAUUUUGGCAGCACAUAAACUAAAAUUGAAAUGAUACAGCAAAGAUUAGCAUGGUGCCUGUGUGAGGAUGACCUACAAAUUCAUGAAGUAUUCAUAUUUUUA